AAAUCCAAUUUUCAUUGCUUAA
rnacentral:miRNA from 1 species